AUUGAACGCUGGCGGCAGGCCUAACACAUGCAAGUCGAACGAGUGGCGGACGGGUGAGUAAUGUCUGGGAAACUGACCGAUGGAGGGGGAUAUCUACUGGAAACGGUCGCUAAUACCGCAUACCAUCGGAUGUGCCUAGAGGGGUUUAGAUAGUAGGUGGGGUAACGGCUCACCUAGGCGACGAUCCCGAGCUGGUCUGAGAGGAUGACCAGCCACACGGUAACUGAGACACGGUCCAGACUCCUACGGGAGGCAGCAGUGGGGAAUAUUGCACAAUGGGCGCAAGCCUGAUGCAGCCAUGCCGCGUGUAUGAAGAAGGCCUUCGGGUUGUAAAGUACUUUCAGCGAGGAGGCGUUACUCGCAGAAGAAGCACCGGCUAACUCCGUGCCAGCAGCCGCGGUAAUAC
rnacentral:rRNA from 1 species